rnacentral:rRNA from 1 species
GACGUAGGGCGCGAGCGUUGUCCGGAUUCAUUGGGCGUAAAGAGCUCGUAGGCGGCUUGUCGCGUCGACUGUGAAAUCCCGCGGCUCAACUGCGGGUCUGCAGUCGAUACGGGCAGGCUAGAGUUCGGUAGGGGAGACUGGAAUUCCUGGUGUAGCGGUGAAAUGCGCAGAUAUCAGGAGGAACACCGAUGGCGAAGGCAGGUCUCUGGGCCGAUACUGACGCUGAGGAGCGAAAGCGUGGGGAGCGAACAGG